GUGGUGGGGGCUCGGAGUCCGGCCCUUGUAAGAAUUCGGAUGAGAUCUACUUGCAAUUGGAGCUCAGGGUUGAAGUCCGACUCCCGUAGGAGCUCGGACGAAGUCUACCUGCAGUAGGAGUUUGGGGAAGAAGUUCGGCUCCCGUAGGAGCCCGGAUGAAACCCAGAAGGUGGUCGACUGCCGUAGAAACUUGGAUGGAGCCCAUCCGUCGUGGAGAUCUGCUGUUAGGAAAGUUCGGCCACUAACGAACUGACGUAGUUCUGGAAGAGAUUCGGAUUGGAGUCGAUCGAAUCCUGUCGGAAAAGAUCCGGAAGGGGUCCGGAGAAUGGUUGACCCUUGUAGGAGAUCGACCGAUGGUAGAAUCCAGAGAGCACUUGGAGCAGCCUGAUGGACAACCAAAGAAGCUUAUCGCUGGAGAAGCCCGGGAGAUGCGGCAGGAGUUCGUCCGUCG
rnacentral:lncRNA from 1 species